GCCUACGGGAGGCAGCAGUGGGGGAUAUUGCACAAUGGGGGAAACCCUGAUGCAGCAACGCCGCGUGAGUGUUGACGGCCUUCGGGUUGUAAAGCUCUGUCUUCAGGGACGAUAAUGACGGUACCUGAGGAGGAAGCCACGGCUAACUACGUGCCAGCAGCCGCGGUAAUACGUAGGUGGCGAGCGUUGUCCGGAUUUACUGGGCGUAAAGGGAGCGUAGGCGGAUUUUUAAGUGAGAUGUGAAAUACUCGGGCUCAACUUGAGUGCUGCAUUUCAAACUGGACGUCUAGAGUGCAGGAGAGGAG
rnacentral:rRNA from 1 species